GUCUAUGUAGUAUACUAAUUACACUGGUCUUGUAAACCAGAAAUGGGGAAAAACAAAUCAUUCCCCCAUAGACU
rnacentral:tRNA from 1 species